rnacentral:piRNA from 1 species
UGAUGUGUCGUUGCUUUUUUAGCAACAGGA